UGUUCGGUCGGUUUUGAAGGCUUUCGAGUGGCGCAGAGGUUUAAGGCACUGCAACUCAGUGCUAGAAGUUUCACUACAGACUAUGGUUCGAUCCCGGGCUGUCUCACAACCGGCCGUGAUCGGGAGUCUCAAGGAGCGGCGCACAAUUGCCCCAGCGUCGUCCGGGUUAAGGAGGGUUUGACCGGGAUAGGCCAUCAUGUUCGGCCAGAUUUGCAUACCACUCCACCAGCCCCGAGAGCACGUGCAUUGCAACACCGGAGAGCGUCUGUGGCUGAGCUGACUGUGGACGGAAAACAGACCCUUUCUCCCACGCCACCUUUCGCCACCGCGCCUGAACUUUUCCCUGACCCAAACCGAGGCGCGGAGAGUUGAGUGUGAACAUAUUUUGGUUGAAAAACAAGGAGUAGAUGGAGACUACAUAACCAAUAAGAGCUAUACCUUCCUUUUCAGCUGGGAACGUUUUGCAUCCUUGUUUUUAACGGGCUCUUGUUGGUUUCAGCAGUUGAUUAGCCUAUUUCUUGGUUUGUAUGUAUACAUAUAUUAAAAUUAGUAACAUAAAGCUGGUAACCUAAAUCCAACUUCCAACAUUUACCAGCCUUGAGCCGUAGACUUGAGCCGUAGACAGUCCUCUCCACACCGCUCCGUCAUUGGAUGUUCGCCAGACUGCGGUGCAUCUCUCCACAAUGUUGACAUUUGAAGCUCUUAACAGCGAGCCUUGGGUUACCGAUACACUCAGCAGAAUAUAACUCUUUCUCUGAGGUUUACAUCGGCCAACAUCAAGGCUAAUGCGAAAUUCAACGCCGUAAACUGGUUUGGCGUGCAUGCUAAAACAGAGAAGCCUCGGUGGAUCUCGCUAUACUCUCCAUAACGGACUGACUUCUGUUGUGGUGGUUUGUCUCAGUAUGUGCUGUAGAAAUAAAAUUGUAGUGGUAAUAAUGUUGAA